GAGUUUUAUUCUUGCUUAUUUAUUUGCUUUUAAAUUAUUUUAUAUGUAAGUUUUUGCGGGAUUCAAUUAUUUUUAUCUUAAUGAUAAUUUAAUUUUUUUUUGCUUAUUCGCAGUAAUAAAUUUUGUAAAUUUAUGGGAAUUUGAUUUGGUAAUUUUGAUUUAUUAUUGGUAAAAUUUGUGCCAGCAUCCGCGGUUAUACAAUGAAUAUGAGUAAAUCUUUUUAGUUAAAGUAGUUAAAGGUUUUUUUGAAGUUAUUUUGUUAUUUUUGGGUGAAAUCUUAAUAUUUAUUAUAACUUUAUUUUAUUUGAGGCUAUGAAAUCUUUUGUUUUAAACUAGGAUUAGAUACCCUAUUAUUUUAGAUAUAAAUUAUUUUUAACUUGAGUAGUAUUAGUUAGGGUCUUGAAACUUAAAGAAUUUGGCGGUAUUUUAGUCUUUUUAGAGGAAUCUGUCCCUUAAUCGAUAGUCCGCGUUGAACCUUACCAGAAUUAUUAUAUGUAUACCGCCGUUAUAAUGAAAAUCUUUUUAGAGUAAAUUGAAUUUUCUUGAUUUAAUUAUAUAAAUUAUUUCAGGUCAAGGUGCAGUUUAUGUUUUGGUGGAGAUGGAUUACAUUUAUAUUUAUUAUUGGAUUAUUAUUUGAAAUUUUAUUAUGAAAUUGGAUUUAAUUGUAAUUUUUUGUAGAUUGUAAUAGUGAUUUUGGCUCUAAAAUAUGUACACAUCGCCCGUCGCUCUCAUUAUUUAUUAAUUGAGAUAAGUCGUAACAUAGUGGUUGUACCGGAAGGUGUGGCUGGAAUGAUUAUUUUCAAUA
rnacentral:ncRNA from 1 species